rnacentral:tRNA from 1 species
ACCCCAGUAGCUCAGUUGGUAGAGCACGAAUAACAAACGAAUCGUGUAUAUUGAUUCUCACAGCCACUUUUGUUUCGACUGUCAAUCGCGUGGUCAGAGGUUCAAGUCCUCUCUGGGGUUCCA